rnacentral:piRNA from 1 species
UAUUCUGUCCUACCUUGAAACUC